GAUGAACGCUGGCGGCGUGCCUAAUACAUGCAAGUCGAGCGAAUCCCUUCGGGGGUUAGCGGCGGACGGGUGAGUAACACGUAGGUAACCUACCUGUAAGACUGGGAUAACCUCGGGAAACCGAAGCUAAUACCGGAUAAUUUCUUUCAUUGCAUGAUGAAAGAUGGAAAGACGGCGUAAGCUGUCACUUACAGAUGGACCUGCGGCGCAUUAGCUAGUUGGUGAGGUAACGGCUCACCAAGGCGACGAUGCGUAGCCGACCUGAGAGGGUGAUCGGCCACACUGGGACUGAGACACGGCCCAGACUCCUACGGGAGGCAGCAGUAGGGAAUCUUCGGCAAUGGGCGAAAGCCUGACCGAGCAACGCCGCGUGAGCGAAGAAGGCCUUCGGGUCGUAAAGCUCUGUUGUUAGGGAAGAACAAGUACGAGAGUAACUGCUCGUACCUUGACGGUACCUAACCAGAAAGCCACGGCUAACUACGUGCCAGCAGCCGCCGUAAUAC
rnacentral:rRNA from 1 species